GAUGAACGCUGGCGGCGUGCCUAAUACAUGCGAGUCGAGCGAACAGACGAGGAGCUUGCUCCUCUGACGUUAGCGGCGGACGGGUGAGUAACACGUGGAUAACCUACCUAUAAGACUGGGAUAACUUCGGGAAACCGGAGCUAAUACCGGAUAAUAUAUUGAACCGCAUGGUUCAAUAGUGAAAGACGGUUUUGCUGUCACUUAUAGAUGGAUCCGCGCCGCAUUAGCUAGUUGGUAAGGUAACGGCUUACCAAGGCAACGAUGCGUAGCCGACCUGAGAGGGUGAUCGGCCACACUGGAACUGAGACACGGUCCAGACUCCUACGGGAGGCAGCAGUAGGGAAUCUUCCGCAAUGGGCGAAAGCCUGACGGAGCAACGCCGCGUGAGUGAUGAAGGUCUUCGGAUCGUAAAAUUCUGUUAUUAGGGAAGAACAAAUGUGUAAGUAACUAUGCACGUCUUGACGGUACCUAAUCAGAAAGCCACGGCUAACUACGUG
rnacentral:rRNA from 1 species